rnacentral:rRNA from 1 species
UAAGUAAGCGGGGGAAAAGGAACUAAAUAGGAUUCCCUCAGUAAUGGCGAAUGAACAGGGAUGAGCUCAGGCUGGAAACCGAUACAUCUGUGUCGGGCUGUAGCCUGCAGGCAUAGCGCUAUCGGCGGCUCGAGCGCAAGCCUCUUGGAAUAGAGCGUGUGCCCGGGUGAGAAUCCUGCAUUUCGCUCGAUGUCCGCUGUCCACAGUGCUUGUCCUGAGAGUCACGCUCCUCGGAAUUGGAGCGUAAAUCAGGUGGUAAGUUUCAUCCAAAGCUAAAUAGAAGCUCGAGACCAAUAGCAAACAAGUACCAUGAGGGAAAGAUGAAAAGGACUUUGGAAAGAGAGUUAAAAGUGUUUGAAAUUGCUGAGAGCGAAGCGAACGGAGCCACAUGUCGUGCUGAGAUUGCUGUGGGUCUUUGUGAGCCUUGAGCAUGUAAGCGCAAGCUGACUGCUUAUGUGUGAGCAUUUACCCGCAGUGUUUCUCAGCAUGCGAGUCAUUAGCCACAUUUGUUUGAGGAUGGCCUUCAGCUCACAUGGUACACUUGUUAGUGUUCCUCUGUGCGGUGUGGGACUCAGACAGGUGUGGCUUGUUGACCCAGUGGUUUUUUUCGACGCCGUCUUGAAACACGGACCA